AACAUGAGGCACAAGCCAGAGGAGAGUAUGAGAAGCUGAUGGGUCUGGAGCACAAGGGCUUCACCUGUAUGGAGAAUGGUCUCUGGCUGUAGUGGAAGGCUCACCUGAUGGGACCGUCACCUGUGACCAUAAUGGACUUACAGAUAAAGGACUCAAACGUCAUCCGGCAGAAACAGACAUGACAUUACACCAGGUCAGUGUUAGUUUAUUAUUUUCUUUCUGACUCUGUCAUUAUCUCAGCUGCAGUUAAAACCUGAUGUCUGGAACAAAAAUCACAAACAUCCCAAAGAAGUUUAAAACCUUUCAGUGUACGUUUGUUAAGUUUAAUUGGCAUUAAAGUUGUAUGCUUUUUAUUAUGUUUGUAUCAGUUAGAUUAUUACACUUGUUUAGGACUGAAUCUACAUUUUUAUAUUUAAAAUUUAAAAACACCAGGUAUUUUUUUUCUAUAGUGCAUAUUUAAUUUAGCACCUGCAAAUAGUUCAUGUUGUUGUUGGUUCUUCAGGAGUUGAUGACACUAAACUGGUCAUUUUCUAAAACAGCCCUCUGUUUAUUAAAUGUUCUGGUGUAGCUGUAAUAUUGAAUAUUUAUCUGUGUUUUCAUGGUUAAACUGUUGAUGAGGAAUAGGUAGUACUAUAUUGAUCAUUUUCCUUUGUAUGUAUCUCUUUGAUUUCCUCUAAGUGUCACCACUUCGUCCAUGACAUUGUCCAUGAUCAGAGACAUUGUCUGCGAUCACAGAGAAUCUUUGUACAAUGAAGAAGUUCUUUGAGACCAGGACAGAGGCCUCCAGGAGGAGAAGAUCGCGUCACCUGAAGAGGACAACAAAAGUAGUUAAAUGUUAUUAAAGAUGUUUAAAGAUGUAUAAAUCUUUAAGAUUAAGUUUAUCCACAUGUUCCUCACUACAUUAAAUGUGGGGUGUGAGAAUAAAAAAAUGUGUUCAAGUGCUCAAAUGUUUGUCAUUU